CACUCCUACGGGAGGCAGCAGUGGGGAAUUUUCCGCAAUGGGCGAAAGCCUGACGGAGCAAUACCGCGUGAGGGAGGAAGGCUCUUGGGUUGUAAACCUCUUUUCUCAAGGAAUAAGAAUGAAGGUACUUGAGGAAUAAGCAUCGGCUAACUCCGUGCCAGCAGCCGCGGUAAUACGGAGGAUGCAAGCGUUAUCCGGAAUGAUUGGGCGUAAAGCGUCCGUAGGUGGUUUUGUGUGUCUGCUGUUAAAGCGUGCGGCUUAACCGCAUAAGGGCGGUGGAAACUACAAGACUAGAGUACGUUCGGGGCAGGGGGAAUUCCCAGUGUAGCGGUGAAAUGCGUAGAGAUUGGGAAGAACACCGGUGGCGAAAGCGCCCUGCUAGGCCGUAACUGACACUGAGGGACGAAAGCUAGGGGAGCGAAUGGGAUUAGAUACCCCAGUAGUCCCA
rnacentral:rRNA from 1 species